rnacentral:rRNA from 1 species
GACGAACGCUGGCGGCGUGCCUAAUACAUGCAAGUAGAACGCUGAAGGAGGAGCUUGCUUCUCUGGAUGAGUUGCGAACGGGUGAGUAACGCGUAGGUAACCUGCCUGGUAGCGGGGGAUAACUAUUGGAAACGAUAGCUAAUACCGCAUAAGAGUAGAUGUUGCAUGACAUUUGCUUAAAAGGUGCAAUUGCAUCACUACCAGAUGGACCUGCGUUGUAUUAGCUAGUUGGUGGGGUAACGGCUCACCAAGGCGACGAUACAUAGCCGACCUGAGAGGGUGAUCGGCCACACUGGGACUGAGACACGGCCCAGACUCCUACGGGAGGCAGCAGUAGGGAAUCGUCGGCAAGGGACGGAAGUCUGACCGAGCAACGCCGCGGGAGGGAAGAAGGGUUUCGGAUCGUAAAGCUCGGUUGUAAGAGAAGAACGAGUGUGAGAGUGGAAAGUUCACAAUGUGACGGUAUCUUACCAGAAAGGGACGGCUAACUACGUG